ensembl:snRNA U6 U6 spliceosomal RNA
GUGCUCUUUCGGCAGCACGGAUUCUAAAAUCGGAAGGUUAGAGGGAAGGUUAGCAUGGCUUCUGCGCAAGGAUGACACACACAUUGGCAAAAUGUUCCACGUUAAA